rnacentral:rRNA from 1 species
UUGAUCCUGCCGGACCCGACUGCUAUCAGAGUGGGACUAAGCCAUGCGAGUCAACGCAGCAAUGCGUGGUAUACGGCUCAGUAACACGUAGUCAACAUGCCCAGGGGACGUGGAUAACCCCGGGAAACUGAGGAUAAACCGCGAUAGGCCAAGGUUUCUGGAAUGGACACUGGCUGAAACCUAUAUGGCCCCUGGAUUGGACUGCGGCCGAUCAGGCUGUUGGUGAGGUAAUGGCCCACCAAACCUGUAACCGGUACGGGCUUUGAGAGAAGGAGCCCGGAGAUGGGCACUGAGACAAGGGCCCAGGCCCUAUGGGGCGCAGCAGGCGCGAAAAUUCUGCAAUAGGCGAAAGCUUGACAGAGUUACUCUGAGUGAUGCCCGCUAAGGGCAUCUUUUGGCACCUCUAAAAAUGGUGCAGAAUAAGGGGUGGGCAAGUCUGGUGUCAGCCGCCGCGGUAAUACCAGCACCCCGAGUGGUCGGGACGAUUAUUGGGCCUAAAGCAUCCGUAGCUUGUUCUGCAAGUCUUCCGUUAAAUCCACCUGCUCAACAGAUGGGCUGCGGGAGAUACUACAGGGCUAGGAGGCGGGAGAGGCAAGCGGUACUCAGUGGGUAGGGGUAAAAUCCUCUGAUCCACUGAAGACCACCAGUGGCGAAGGCGGCUUGCCAGAACGCGCUCGACGGUGAGGGAUGAAAGCUGGGGGAGCAAACCGGAUUAGAUACC